UACGUAGGGGGCUAGCGUUGUCCGGAUUUAUUGGGCGUAAAGAGCGUGUAGGCGGCCAGGUAGGUCUGGUGUGAAAACUCGAGGCUUAACCUCGAGAUGUCAUCGGAAACCAUUUGGCUAGAGUCCGGAAGAGGAGAGUGGAAUUCCUGGUGUAGCGGUGAAAUGCGCAGAUAUCAGGAAGAACACCAAUGGCGAAAGCAGCUCUCUGGGACGGUACUGACGCUGAGAGACGAAAGCUAGGGGAGCGAAUGGG
rnacentral:rRNA from 1 species